rnacentral:rRNA from 1 species
AUUGAACGCUGGCGGCAGGCCUAACACAUGCAAGUCGAACGAGUGGCGGACGGGUGAGUACUGUCUGGGAACCUGACUGAUGGAGGGGGAUAACUACUGGAAACGGUAGCUAAUACCGCAUACCAUCGGAUGUGCCCAGAUGGGAUUAGCUAGUAGGUGGGGUAAAGGCUCACCAAGGCGAAGGUCCCUAGCUGGUCUGAGAGGAUGACCGGCCACGCUGGAACUGGGACACGGUCCAGACUCCUACGGUGUGCAGGAGUGGGGAAUAGUGCACAAUGGGCGGAAUCCUGAUGCAGCCAUGCCGCGUGUAUGAAGAAGGCCUUCGGGUUGUAAAGUACUUUCAGCGGGGAGGCGUUACCCGCAGAAGAAGCACCGGCUAACUCCGUGCCAGCAGCCGCGGUAAUUC